UACAGAGGAUGCAAGCGUUAUCCGGAAUGAUUGGGCGUAAAGCGUCUGUAGGUGGCUUUUUAAGUCCGCCGUCAAAUCCCAGGGCUCAACUCUGGACAGGCGGUGGAAACUACCAAGCUGGAGUACGGUAGGGGCAGGAGGGAAUUUCCGGUGGAGCGGUGAAAUGCGUAGAUAUCGAGAGGAACACCUGCGGCGAAGGCGGGUGCUGGGCUGACACUGACGCUGAUGCGCGAAAGCCAGGGAGCAAACAGG
rnacentral:rRNA from 1 species